rnacentral:rRNA from 1 species
UACAGAGGGGGCAAGCGUUAUUCGGAAUUAUUGGGCGUAAAGGGCGCGUAGGCGGCCUUUCAAGUGACGGGUGAAAUCCCCCGGCUUAACCGGGGAACUGCCUGUCAGACUGGGAGGCUUGAGACCGGGAGAGGUGAGUGGAAUUCCCAGUGUAGCGGUGAAAUGCGUAGAUAUUGGGAGGAACACCAGUGGCGUAGGCGGCUCACUGGACCGGUACUGACGCUGAUGCGCGAAAGCGUGGGGAGCAAACAGG